rnacentral:lncRNA from 13 species
CUGUGCCUGUUUGUCCUGCUGAUGCUCCAGUGGCUGCUCCCACAUCCCAGCCUAGGACCAAUGCCACUGAAGACAGACCUGGCCCCUGGGGACCCAGGAGACUUACAGGACUCACUCAGCUGUCCCCAGGAGUCCCCAGACCUGCAUUCUUAUCAAGGACCUGGGAGCCCAGAGGGCCAUAAAUGAUGAUUUGCUGUUGCUGUGAUUAUCACUGCCUUUAGUGGCCAAGGGCCUUCCAAGGUGCCAGCUCUGGAAGGAAAGAUGUCCUUGGGAGGUGAUGACACUUGGUACACAGAUGCUUGACAGGUUGUUUCCUCCUAUCCUCAGACAGCCUUUGACACAGCCAUUGUUUGGAAGGAAACCAGCCCAGGGUCACACAGCUGGUCUCAAAUCUAAGGUGCCUGGCUCUGCCUCCACAAGGGACCUGCCUGCAAGGGAGGUUGACCCUGGCUUGGGGGAACCUUUCCUGGGCUACAUGAAUCACCUCCCCUGUUUGAGGCCCCAAACUGCUCACAUCUCCUUCCUUGCCCAGUCUCUGCUUGGGCUAUAAUCAAGGUGACCACAGCAACCCUUCAUGGACAUCAUGGUGCUACUCUCAUGCAGCCAAGACUGACUGUGAGAAACCCUGGGAGCUCAGGAAGGAAGGAGCCGCUCAGAAGCAGGGAUGGGAGCUGGUGGGAAAGACCAGAAGUCAGGCGAUCAGGUUUCUACUUGAUUAUUUGUAUCCUGGGCAUGACCUUCUUGGUGUUCUGUGGAUGCCUAUCCCUAUUGUGUUUCUGGGAGUUUCCACAGUUGGCCUUUUCCUCCGAAAAAUUAUCUUCUGUCUCCAUGCUGGAGCCUUGGAGAGGGAGAUGGCUGAGAGGAAGCCUGCCUACAAGCAGCACAGGAGGAGAAAGCAGAGAGUGCCAGAGAGACACGAGUGAGGAGCCAGCCCAGAAACGCCUGUGCACUGAGAACACUUUCUGGAGAGGUUAACAUGGCUGCCGCACAGCAUCAUCAUUGAUCAGCA